rnacentral:piRNA from 1 species
CAAAAGCUCAGUUUACUAGCUGGAUGG